GCUGAUAUGGCUCAGUUGGUAGAGCGCACCCUUGGUAAGGGUGAGGUCCCCAGUUCGACUCUGGGUAUCAGCAC
rnacentral:tRNA from 1 species